rnacentral:rRNA from 1 species
UGGGGAAUCUUGCACAAUGGGCGAAAGCCUGAUGCAGCAACGCCGUGUGAGCGAGGAAGGCCUUAGGGUCGUAAAGCUCUGUUGUUGGGGACGAAGGGCGAAGGGUUAAUAGCCCCUAGCCUGACGGUACCCUUCGAGGAAGCCCCGGCUAACUACGUGCCAGCAGCCGCGGUAAUACGUAGGGUCCUAGCGUUAUCCGGAAUGAUUGGGCGUAAAGAGCUCGUAGGCGGUUCAGCAAGUCGGCUGUGAAAGUCCGAGGCUCAACCUCGGAAUUGCAGUCGAUACUGCUGUGACUCGAGUCCGGUAGAGGAGAAUGGAAUUCCCGGUGUAGCGGUGAAUUGCGCAGAUAUCGGGAGGAACACCAGUAGCGAAGGCGGUUCUCUGGGCCGGCACUGACGCUGAGGAGCGAAAGCGUGGGGAGCAAACAGUAUUAGAUACCCGCGUAGUCC